ensembl:snRNA U2 U2 spliceosomal RNA
AUGUCUUCUCGGCCUUUUGGCUAAGAUCAAGUGUAGUAUUUAUAUAUCUGAUGCUUCCUCUAUCCAAGGACACUCUGUUAAAUGGAUUUUUGGAGCAGGGAGAUUGAAUAUGUCCUUUCCCCAUCUAUUCCAUGCAUUGACCUGGUAGUGUAGUACCUCCAGGAACUAUGCACCCCCU